rnacentral:snoRNA from 1 species
CCCCUCCAGAUACAUCCCUUCUCAGAUCUAAAUAUUGUUCUGAGUGUCCAAAAAAGGAAGAAGAGUAAAACCGACAUGGACUUGAAGUCGUCUUUCGUGACAUGCAAGUUCAUUGAAAACAUAA